rnacentral:tRNA from 3 species
CGGGAUGUAGCGCAGCCUGGUAGCGUGCUUGCAUGGGGUGCAAGAGGUCGUGGGUUCGAAUCCCGCCAUCCCGA